CCGAUCUUAGCUCAGUUGGUAGAGCGGAGGACUGUAGUGCACAACAGGUAUCCUUAGGUCGCUGGUUCGAUUCCGGCAGAUCGGA
rnacentral:tRNA from 1 species